GCGCUAACUAGUAAGGUGGCUAGCAAUUAGCCAACGCCCCUGUCCCUUACCAACCAUGGCACUGUUUUACUCAAGGAGCUUGCAAGAGCUGCCAAAGAUAACAGUGACGGAUGUACAUCGUCUGGCCAAGACAAGUAGCAAAGCACCAAGGAUUCAAACAGUCUCCAGUUAUCUUUUCAACUAUGAAGGGUCUGCAACCUUGGGCCCAUAGGAAAAAUGACCAUCACCAAAAAGCGCAUGGCAGGAGGAGGGAUUAGGUGGUUUCAAGUACAUUGUCUAGAUUGGCUAACCACAGCAGCUGCUGUACACUACAGCGCCCUUGUUGAAACACUCCCUGACCUCUCAGUUCUCCAGAUAGAAGAGGCAUACAAGAGCUUUGACCCUCUAUCCAAGCCAUUGAUCUGCAGCAUGGGGAUGUCUGCU
rnacentral:lncRNA from 1 species